ensembl:lncRNA
UCCACAUGCAAAUGGCCCCUCUGCCCACUUCGCUUCAUUUCAUUGAAUGGGGUUCCGUUGUUUCAUUGCCCCCAACGCGUUGAAAGAUCACAGAUAUUUUAGUCUGAAAAGCCCUAUACGGAUUGACCAUGCAAUGAAUGCUUCCAUCAGGAUACACAGCCAACUAGUUUGCAUGCCCUUUCCGAAGGACCCUAUAAUGCGGAAUAGGUGGUUGGAGUCCGUUGGUCCCCAGUGGUGGCGAGUAUACUGAACAGCUACUGUUCAACUGAUGUAUAUCUUUUACUGAGACAGGCCCUCAACCACCGGAUGUAGUAUCUCCUGUGAUCACCCCAGGCCUCGGAAGACCUCUUCAACUACAACAGGAAGCAGUCAUACGACCGGGUCACGACCCCUCUUAUAACACCAUGAGUCAAGCGUAGCCCACCCCGUGAGCCGGCAGUGGAAGGUUCCGGUCUCACCGAGGAGCAAGGUGCGGAAGGAUCGUCGGGGGAGGAGAGGGAGACCUAGUCAGCACGUCAGAAUGAGGAAAAGAAAGAGAGAGAGAGAGGAGGAGGAGAGGAAACAUCUGUUAGAUAGCAGCCAUGUAACAUCAUUACACACAAGGCCCACCGGCUCACCUAAUACGGCCACAGCUGGGUUUAAUACAGCCUCCAUCCACAGGGGAAACUACUGUGUGACCCGACAUAGUCAGAACUAUGUACACAUCCAGCCAGGAGGCACCAGGGAGGGAAUGAUGGUGCUGCCUAAGCCCACAAUCGAGACUCACUGGGGAAGUGUCUGUUCGAGAGCCCCAAGCUUCUGGCCUGAACACGGGGCUGACAUUAUGGGAGCUAUUCUAAUGCUUUUGUUUGACAGCACUUCAUUUUUUGCAUUUUUUGUUUUUUGGACGAGAGGAGAGGCAGUGACCGAGGACAGAGAGGAAGUGACUGAGGAGUGUGAGAGAUAGAUACUGAGAAAGAGAGAGAGAGAGAGUAGUCUGCCGUAUGUGUUGGAUGUUAAUAAGACCGAUUAAUUUAACUGUGUUUUAUUUUAACAAGCAAGUUUUACACUCUCAUUAAACUCUUCUGUAGAGAAUUGGUGAAUGAUGUAACGUUUCUGUGCGAUGUUGAGGUAUUUCUCACUUGCCUUAUCACACGCCGGGUAAUUCUAGAACUAUCUGCUCCUUUACAGCAAUAGGCAUCCUUUUUAACAAAUGAGCCAGGUUUCUUCUGUUGUAUUUAUGCCUUGCCAAACUCUGAUAUUUUUCCCUGUGCCAGCUGUUUUCUUAGCUGAGGUAAAUCUCGAUAAAUCAAUAGGAGUUCAUCUGCUGAGAAGACUGCGUGCUGGCCUGUUUAAAAGGCCACUUCAUCUCCAUUGGUUCCAGAGCAUGAAUCAAGCCCUCAAUGAAGAAUCAACCGAGAAGUGAGUCAGAUAGCAGACUCUGUGUUCCUGAGCAACGAUAUGGGAAACAGAGAAGUCCCAUAUUUUAAAGGGGUAUGGUAUAGUGCUGGACCCAAUAUCCCAGGUAUGCAUCUUUUUUUUCAGGAGGUCGUUUCAACCCCGACAUAAAACCAUUCUUCCUCUAGCACUGUCUCAAUUAGGCAGAUGGUCUAUGUGUCGUAUGGUAAGCUGAUCGGAAUGCUGUGUUAUUUGACAUGUAACCCUAGCUUCACCGCCACAGUGAACGAGGACGUUUCGAGGUGAUAUAGAGCAGGAGAUGGGUGCAAAUCAUUUCUAUGAUCGCUCGUGUGUCAUGCAGGGUAAGGCCUUGGAAUUGCGUGCAUUCUGGACUCUAUGAUUCAUACUGAAAGAUCUCACCUUCCGUACAUUGGCAAAAUGUCACUUAACCUGUCGCUGGGGAUGAGGUAAGACCAGUCUGAGUUCAAAAUGGACUCCUUCAGAUGUCUCCUCUCUAUUGCAACAUAUUCAAAGAGUGUCUUCGUACUGUAGAGAAAGGUCAAAGGUGCUGAUUUGAUAUUGUGUGCGUCAAUCACUCCUCAAAACUGUAUGUCAGGGGCAGAGGGAGGGAUUGGAGGAGGGCGGGACUGGUCCAGUGGGCUGUAUGUAUAUAGGCUGGUCAAGCUGAAAUCUAAUGAGGAGCAGGAGAGGGCAAAAAAGGAGGAGGAGAGGACCUGCCCACAGGUUCUCGGGGCUUGAACCCAGCACGACCCCAGUGUGUUGACACAGGUUGCCCUCCUGCCCCUUUAACCCCCCUUUGGGAAUUAUUGAAUAGGGCCCCUCAAUGAUCGAGCCAAAUUGUUACCCAGUUUCAGUUGCAGCAUAAGGAGACAGUUAUGAUUCAAUCCAGUUGUAUCCUAAUUAAAUUAUCAAAUAAGAUGUUUCAUUUUCAUUCAUCAUGUUUUGUUUGGUCAAAUCAAUGGGGUAAUAUUAUAAAGAGAAUGAAGGUACACAUAGAAGAUGGUUGAGUUUUUGAUAUACACAACCGUUCAGAAGUUUG